CAGCAUUCAGGAGGCUCAAAUAGGAGGAUUACCAGGAACUCAAGGCUAGCCUGGGCUAGAAUGAGACCCUGCCUCACAAAGCAAAAAGCAAGCUGAGAACACACGAGAAUUGACGAGGAACUGCAGCUUGAAGAAAACUCUUAUACAUCAAUCCCUUGUACAACUUUCAUGAACAUGAUUGAAAAUUGUAAAAUACAUGAAUGUUCCUCUAAACCUUUGUGGUUUACCUGCGCUUCCAGAAUCUGUGAUCUAUUUUCAGAGUAAUAAAAAGCACUUCCUCUCCUGUCUUGCUUCUGCUACUUAUGAAACAUUUCUCAAAUCCUGUUGCCAUCUGUGUUCCAACCUGAAUCCUUCCAGUGAUGGACACUGCUCCAGAAUUUGAGAGGAGGCAGAAGAGAAACCAUUCCUCUUAGCAGCAGUGGCAGGAACCUGAGUGAUGGAUGGGAUUUUCCACUGGCUCCUUCUGAACACAAGAGAGGGCAGACUUCUCUGCUGCCACCAGUCACAGGGAUCAGUGCUGGUGGCCCUUGUGAUUCCUGCCCUUCUUAAUGUUUUGAACUCUAAAAAUAACACCUAGACUUUUGUUCCCCCCAGCCUGACUAGUUGUUGAGAAAAUUGCUAAGACUCUGUACAUGAAGCUUUGGUUUACUCCUGACUUUGGAAAAGUUAGCAAUGAAGACAAUGUUAUGUU